rnacentral:misc_RNA from 1 species
AAGUCGUAACAAGGUUUCCGUAGGUGAACCUGCGGAAGGAUCAUUAAAAGAGAUCGUUUCUUUGGUGUAAAAGCUAGAGAAAUCCUCCAACCCCUUGUCUAUCAAAACAAAAUUUGUUGCUUCGCAGCGAUGAAACUGAAAAAUUGAAUUUUUAAAUUUAAAUUUACUUUGCUGCGCUUCUCAAUUUAAAUUCUUUUUCCUUUUCUUUUCGCCAGAAGAAAUUAAAUCAAACUCUGAAUUUAAACAAUUGUCUGAAUUAAAUUUUAUAAAAAAUUUGGCUUCAUAACCAUUAAAUUAAAAUACAA